UGUCCGGUGGCCUAGUGGUUAGAACGUCCGCCUGGGAUGCUGGAGGUCGCGGAUUCCAUCCCCGCUCGAGUCA